GGCAUUAGCUGCUACAUGCCGUGUGAUUAGCCUACAGCUCUCAAGCUAAUGUACAACUUCCUCCCGCUGUUCUGUGCUUGGAAAAGGAUCGCUUUUUUACAAAAAUGUUCAUGAGAAUGAAGACAACAGUAAAGAUCAUUCAACUUUA